rnacentral:rRNA from 1 species
UGGGGAAUAUUGCACAAUGGGCGCAAGCCUGAUGCAGCAACGCCGCGUGAACGAUGAAGGUCUUCGGAUCGUAAAGUUCUGUUGCAGGGGAAGAUAAUGACGGUACCCUGUGAGGAAGCCCCGGCUAACUACGUGCCAGCAGCCGCGGUAAUACGUAGGGGGCUAGCGUUAUCCGGAUUUACUGGGCGUAAAGAGCUCGUAGGCGGUUUGUCACGUCGUCUGUGAAAUCCUAGGGCUUAACCCUGGACGUGCAGGCGAUACGGGCUGACUUGAGUACUACAGGGGAGACUGGAAUUUCUGGUGUAGCGGUGGAAUGCACAGAUAUCAGGAAGAACACCGAUGGCGAAGGCAGGUCUCUGGGUAGUAACUGACGCUGAGGAGCGAAAGCAUGGGUAGCGAACAGG